rnacentral:rRNA from 1 species
UACGGAGGGUGCAAGCGUUAAUCGGAAUUAUUGGGCGUAAAGCGCACGUAGGCGGUUUGUUAAGUCGGAUGUGAAAUCCCUCGGCUCAACUGAGGAAGUGCAUCCGAAACUGGCAGGCUUGAGUACUAAAGAGGGUCGCGGAAUUCCCGGUGUAGAGGUGAAAUUCGUAGAUAUCGGGAGGAACACCGGUGGCGAAGGCGGCGACCUGGGUAGAUACUGACGCUGAGGUGCGAAAGCGUGGGGAGCAAACAGG